rnacentral:rRNA from 1 species
CACGUAGGGCGCAAGCGUUGUCCGGAAUUAUUGGGCGUAAAGAGCUCGUAGGCGGUCUGUUGCGUCCGCUGUGAAAACUCGGGGCUUAACCCCGAGCCUGCAGUGGAUACGGGCAGACUAGAGGUAGGUAGGGGAGAAUGGAAUUCCCGGUGUAGCGGUGAAAUGCGCAGAUAUCGGGAGGAACACCGGUGGCGAAGGCGGGUCUCUGGGCCACUACUGACGCUGAGGAGCGAAAGCGUGGGGAGCGAACAGG